AUGACCAGCUUCUGCAGUUUCCUUACUUUCUCCAUAAUCAAAAGAGAGUUCUCCAUCAUGACUGCCAUUGUAAUCGUCAUCAUUUUCAUCUUCAACAGAGUAAUCCUCAUCUUCAAGUGCACUGAACUGAUGAUCGAUGUGUUGUUGCUCGGCAGCAAGCCUAACAUGUGGCUCCACAGCCUCAAGAGACUUGACACCCUUUCUGAAUAA
rnacentral:rRNA from 1 species